GACGAGGGAUCCUAGCGUUGCUCGGAAUUAUUGGGCGUAAAGCGGGUGUAGGUGGCUUGACAAGUCAGGUGUGAAAGCCCAGGGCUCAACCCUGGAAGUGCAUUUGAAACUGUCGAGCUUGAGUGCUAGAGAGGUUAUUAGAAUACCUGGUGUAGUGGUGAAAUACGUAGAUAUCAGGUGGAACACCGGAGGCGAAGGCGGAUAACUGGCUAGACACUGACACUGAGACCCGGAAAGUG
rnacentral:rRNA from 1 species